rnacentral:rRNA from 1 species
UACGAGGGGGGCAAGCGUUGUUCGGAAUUAUUGGGCGUAAAGGGCGCGUAGGCGGUGCGGUAAGUCACCUGUGAAAACUCUGGGCUCAACUCAGAGCCUGCAGGCGAAACUGCCGUGCUUGAGUGUGGGAGAGGUGCGUGGAAUUCCCGGUGUAGCGGUGAAAUGCGUAGAUAUCAGGAAGAACACCCGUGGCUAAGGCGGCUCUCUAGUACGGUACUGACGCUGAGACGCGAAAGCGUGGGGAGCGAACAGG